rnacentral:lncRNA from 1 species
UUUUUUAGUUUUCAGAGGACACAACAUCUUUGUUUGUACAUGGUGCUGAGGAUCGAACCCAGGCCGCACGCAUGCCAGGCGAGCACGCUACCGCUUGAGCCACAUCCCCAGCCCUGUGAAGGCUUCAUUAAAAGUCUGAGACAGUGUCUCUUGAACCUAUCUGUCUACACUUAUCAGAGCAUCUGUGAUGGGGGCCUGAGCUUUGUAAGAUACUUAUGCUUCACCAGAAAACUGAUGAAUGCAGAGGCAUUUGGGCAUGUCACAGCGCAGCUUAAAAAAAGCAAAGCCAAGUCCUUGCCUCCAGUGUGGCACAAAAUAGGGAGGAACUUCAAAUGUGAUAUGGCCAGGGGCACUAUGUCUUAGUGCAGUUUCCUGUGAUAUGUGAGGCCCAGUAGGACACUAGCCACCCAGCAGAUGCCUACAGUGACAGUACAUAGGGACAAGCUGUGGUUCCCCGGUCCCCUGACCACACUGCAUUCCGUGAGGUCACCCACCUGCAGAGGCAGAGCUCUGUGCCUGCUGACACAGCAGAAUCAGAGCUCAAGCAGAACUCGCCCUGAGGUGAGGAGUCACGUAGGCCUUGCCUAGUUACCCACGCACUGUGUGGGCUGAAGUCCUGCUGGCUGGGCAGUGAUUUUCGUCAAGGACGGUGAAGAUUCCCUAGCCUCACAUAUCAGCCCCAUGUCCUCAGCAAAGCCUGCAGUUUGAGAAAAGCCAUUUGAGGGAUGAUUGUGAUACUGUGUGAGCAGAUGCAGCAGGAGGGGAAUUUCAGAAAUCACUGUGGAUCUGGAAACAAGUUGGCUGUGAUAAAAUGGAGUUUGGAAGUGAGUUAGAUGGUAUUUAAAACAGUCGGUAUGGAAAAGCCAAGGUGCAGAAGGAGGGCGUGGAGGUGGCUGGCCUUCCGCAGCGUGUGCUGGUAAACUGCUUCGCGACCAAGGAUGGGAGGCUGGAUCCCCCAGGUUUUAAGCUCAACAAACUGUUCUCCCACUUUCACCACAAUGUGAUAUUCCAGGGUUUGUGUUUCCACAUUCUUCAGAUGGGUCCUCACUAGGGGACUUGAAAGAGUUGACAAGCCUUUGAAGAUAAUGUGAGGAGGGCAGUCCUGACCGUGAUUGCUUCUGCUGAACACAGACUUCAGAGAUCCUCUCACAAGGAGACUAGAGGCAUCCAGUGUGUCCUGGCUCUCCCCUGAAAUUGAUACCCCUCAACACAGGGGAGCACAGGAUAAGGUAGGAGAGCCCUGGGAGGGAGCAGGAGGCAGCACAGAGUCAGGGCCAGCAGAAAUCCAGAAAUACAGGUUCUUAGAGUAAGAAGAAAAUCCAAAACAGAGGUGGUCUUCACCAAACCUGUGGGUGCAGGCAGCUUGGGGGGAUGGGAAGGCUCCCCUCUGGUUUGCUGAGAGACAUCUUGGUGAUUUUAAGAAAUGCAGAUUCCGCUAUUGGGCAAGUGCUAAGUCUGAGC